GCCAUCUUAGCUCAGUUGGUAGAGCAAUGCACUCGUAACGCAUAGGUCGCCGGUUCGAUUCCGGCAGAUGGCU
rnacentral:tRNA from 1 species